AGGGCAAUUCCUGAUAGGUGCU
rnacentral:miRNA from 1 species